AGAGUUUGAUUCUGGCUCAGAACGAACGCUGGCGGCGAUGGAUUAGGCAUGCAAGUCGAACGAAGCAGCAAUGCUUAGUGGCGCAAGGGUGAGGAACGCGUGAGUGACUUACCCGCAAGUUUGGAACAGCUCCUGGAAACGGGAAUUAAUACCGGAUGUGAUCAAUGGGCUGCAUGGUUUAUUGAUUAAAGCAGUAAUGCGCUUGCGGAUGGGCUCGCGUCCCAUUAGCUAGUUGGUGAGGUAACGGCCCACCAAGGCCAUGAUGGGUAGCUGGUCUGAGAGGACGACCAGCCACACUGGGACUGAGAACUGCCCAGACUCCUACGGGAGGCUGCAGUCGAGAAUUUUGGGCAAUGGACGAAAGUCUGAACCCCCAGCAAUGCCGCGUGCGGGAUGAAGGUCUUCGGAUUGUAAACCGCUGUUUGGAGGGACGAAAUUUGACGGUACCUCCAGAGAAAGCCACGGCUAACUACGUGCCAGCCGCAGC
rnacentral:rRNA from 1 species